AUACCUACCUGGUAGGGGAGAUACCAUGAUCAUGAAGGUGGUUUUCCCAGGGCGAGGCUUAUCCAUUGUGCUCUGGAUGUGCUGACCCGUGUGAUUUCCUCAAAUAUGGGAAAUUUGACUGCAUAAUUUGUGGUAGUGGGAGACUGCGUUCGUGCUUUCCCCUG
ensembl:snRNA U1 U1 spliceosomal RNA